rnacentral:rRNA from 1 species
UACGUAGGGGGCAAGCGUUGUCCGGCUUUAUUGGGCGUAAAGAGCGUGUAGGCGGCCAAGCAGGUCAGCUGUGAAAACUCGAGGCUCAACCUCGAGACGUCGGUUGAAACCGCUUGGCUAGAGUCCGGAAGAGGAGAGUGGAAUUCCCGGUGUAGCGGUGAAAUGCGCAGAUAUCGGGAAGAACACCUAUGGCGAAGGCAGCUCUCUGGGACGGUACUGACGCUGAGACGCGAAAGCGUGGGGAGCGAACAGG